rnacentral:rRNA from 1 species
CCUACGGGAGGCAGCAGUGGGGAAUAUUGCACAAUGGGGGGAACCCUGAUGCAGCGACGCCGCGUGGGUGAAGGAGUAUUUCGGUAUGUAAAGCCCUAUCAGCAGGGAAGAACAAUGACGGUACCUGACUAAGAAGCACCGGCUAAAUACGUGCCAGCAGCCGCGGUAAUACGUAUGGUGCAAGCGUUAUCCGGAUUUACUGGGUGUAAAGGGAGCGCAGGCGGCGCGUUAAGCCUGGUGUGAAAGUCCGCGGCCCAACCGCGGGACUGCAUUGGGAACUGGCGCGCUGGAGUGCCGGAGGGGUAGGCGGAAUUCCUAGUGUAGCGGUGAAAUGCGUAGAUAUUAGGAGGAACACCAGUGGCGAAGGCGGUCUGCUGGACAGCAACUGACGCUGAGGCGCGAAAGCGUGGGGAGCAAACAGGAUUAGAUACCCCAGUAGUC